GCCGGGUUAGCUCAGCUGGCAGAGCAACGCACUUGUAAUGCGUAGGUCAAGGGUUCGAUUCCCUUACCCGGCUCCA
rnacentral:tRNA from 4 species